rnacentral:pre_miRNA from 1 species
AAUGGCAAGAUUGAAAAAAUUGUGGAUUUGAGAAUUGGAAUCGCUUCCACAAUAUUAAUCGACUCAAGCAAU